rnacentral:piRNA from 1 species
UUCCAAAUAUUGCUGUAGGAGGGACCAAU